rnacentral:rRNA from 1 species
UACGUAGGGGGCUAGCGUUAUCCGGAAUUACUGGGCGUAAAGGGUGCGUAGGUGGUUUCUUAAGUCAGAGGUGAAAGGCUACGGCUCAACCGUAGUAAGCCUUUGAAACUGGGGAACUUGAGUGCAGGAGAGGAGAGUGGAAUUCCUAGUGUAGCGGUGAAAUGCGUAGAUAUUAGGAGGAACACCAGUUGCGAAGGCGGCUCUCUGGACUGUAACUGACACUGAGGCACGAAAGCGUGGGGAGCAGACAGG